GUAUGACCUUGGGUGUUGCCAUGGGAAAAUGUUGGAAUCACAGGGCCCAAGGAGUAUUUGCUUUAAGAAGAGUCCAGACCUGGACACAGCCACUCUUGCGCCCAGCGACCUCUCCGGACAGCGCAGAGCGUGCAGAGCUAGGUGGCGCAGAGCUAGGUGGCGCGCAGCCGUGUGUAGGGUUCCGGACGCGCGCAUGUGCGUGUGCGCGCCACGGUAAGCACUGCCCCCAACCCACAGGCCAGCAGCUUGCGGUGCCAUCUGUCACCAGCCUCGCCCGGGCUGCUCCCUCUGAAUGGCUUUCCCUAAGACCAACCCGCUCGCCCUGUCGGACGCAAUCAGGUCACCCACUGCAGGACGCAGCCGGAAGUGCCCUCUAUUCCCAAACAGCACCGGUUCCAAGCUGCAAGCUGUCCUGGGUUCCCCCUGACGGCGUGCGCGCUCCACCAGGUCCAGGAACUCAGGACCCGGGGCCAGCAUCUUUUUAGCAAGUUCUAAGUUCUCAGCUAAGGCCUGGUGACUUCAUUAAAAAUAAUAAUAAUAAAAGCAGAAAGCAACCCAACCACAAUAGGAGUCGAUCCGCAGGCUCGGCACCGCAGCAACCCGGCUCCUUCUCCCGGUGAUGUGGGCUGACAUCACAGCUCAGCCCUGGGCCUCUGCCCGCUCCAGCCUGGGCCUCUUCCCUGGCCUCCUACAUGGGGAGGAGGCAGUGCGAUCCCACCUUUGCAGGCAGGCCUCCUGGCCUCGCCUGAACCCCAAGCUGGCCUGACUUAUCUCCCGUGCUGUUCCUUCCCUCUGCAUCUGUGCGGGGAGUCCAGUCACUGGGGGCCACUUUCAUGAUUUUGUUGCCAUCAGGAUUAGCUGGAUUAGGGGCCAGUACAUAAGGACCCCCUGGUGCCGUGAGGAAGUUUCAUCACGGGGUCAGCAUGGUGUGAACUAUAUUCUGUCAACACCACCACUUCGUACAGCCACCAACCAAAAAAAAAAAAACAAAAAAACAAAAAAACAAAAAACAAAAAAGUGAUGGGGGGGAGGAGUGUAAAAUGUAUCAACUCAUCAUAGCAAUAAAUCCCCCUACUGGGCAUUUCAAAGCGUGUAAGCCAUUCAGGACUGUCCUUUCAGACAAGAAACUUCAGUGAUUUAAAAAAAAAAAAAAAAAACUAUUAAGAACGACAUCGUGGGUCU